rnacentral:rRNA from 1 species
GACGGAGGGAUGCAAGUGUUAUCCGGAAUCACUGGGCGUAAAGCGUCUGUAGGUCGUUUAAAAAGUCUACUGUUAAAAAUUGAAGCUUAACUUCAAAGAUGCCGUAGAAACUUUUAAACUUGAGUAUGGUAGGGGUAGAGGGAAUUUCCAGUGGAGCGGUGAAAUGCGUAGAUAUUGGAAAGACCACCAAUGGCGAAGGCACUCUACUGGGCCAUUACUGACACUGAGAGACGAAAGCUAGGGGAGCAAAUGGG